rnacentral:rRNA from 1 species
AGUUCAAGGAAGUAAGAGCAUAGGGGGAAUGCCUUGGCACUAGGAGCCGAAGAAGGUCGUGAUAAGCUGCGAAAAGCUGUGGGGAGGAGCAAAUAUCCCGAGAUCCACGGAUUACCGAAUGGGGAAACCCGGCAUGUGGAAGACAUGUCAUGCUGACGUAAAUCAAAUAGCGUCAGUAAGGGAACCCGGGGAACUGAAACAUCUAAGUACCCGGAGGAAGAGAAAGAAACAUCGAUUUCCUGAGUAGUGGCGAGCGAAAGGGAAAGAGGCCAAACCAUGGGGCGAAAGCCUGAUGGGGUUCGGACUGCAGGAAGCGAAAGAUAGCUACCCGAAAGGUUUUGGGAAAGCCUACCAAAGAAAGUGAAAGUCUUGUAGGGGAAAGCGAAAGAUAGCCGGCAGGAUCCAGAGUAGCGUAAGACACGAGAAACCUUGCGUGAACGAGCGGGGACCACCCCGUAAGCCUAAAUACUACCUAGUGACCGAUAGAGAAGCAGUACUGUGAAGGAAAGGUGAAAAGAACCCCGGGAGGGGAGUGAAAAAGAACCUGAAACCCUAUGUUUACAAGCAGACGAAGCGCGAGCGACGUCGUACUUUUUGUAGAACGGUCCGGCGAGUUACGUGUAUCAGGCGAGGUUAAGUGCGAAAGGCACGGAGCCGAAGGGAAACCAAGUCUUAAUAGGGCGAAAGAGUCUGAUGCAGUAGACCCGAAACCGGGUGACCUAUCCAUGAGCAGGUUGAAGUUUCCGUAACAGGGAAUGGAGGACCGGACCCACGUCUGUUGAAAAAGGCGGGGAUGACUUGUGGAUAGCGGAGAAAUUUCAAUCGAACCCGGAGAUAGCUGGUUCUCCUCGAAAUAGCUUUAGGGCUAGCCUUGUAUUACUUCCAUGGAGGUAGAGCACUGACUUCUGGAGGGGGCCUCACCGCUUACCAAAAGAUAUCAAACUACGAAUGCCAUAGGAAGGAUGUACAGGAGUCAGACAGUCGGAGAUAAGUUCGAUUGUCGAAAGGGAAAGAGCCCAGACCACCAGCUAAGGUCCCAAAGUACAUGUUAAGUGGAAAAGGAUGUGAGAUUUCAAAGACAACUAGGAUGUUGGCUUAGAAGCAGCCAUACAUUCAAAGAGUGCGUAAUAGCUCACUAGUCGAGAGAUUUUGCGCCGAAAAUGUCCGGGGCUAAAACAUGACACCGAAGCUGUGGGAUGUAGAAAUACAUCGGUAGAGGAGCAUUGUGCAGAUGAAGAAGCGGGAUCGGAAGGCACCGUGGAGGAUGCACAAGAGAGAAUGCCGGAAUGAGUAGCGAGAUGGAAGUGAGAAUCUUUCAGGCCGAAUAUCCAAGGUUUCCAGAGUAAAGCUGAUCUGCUCUGGGUAAGUCGGGGCCUAAGGCGAGGGCGAAAGCCGUAGUCGAUGGAGAACUGGUGAUAAUUCCAGUACCUUGUAGGAACAGAACUGUGGGGACGCAGGAAGAUAAGAAGAGCCGGGAAAGGAAAGACCGGUAUAAGCGCAAAGGCGGAGCGGGGGAGAUACCGCGAGAAAGCUGAAGCGUGAUAAGGAGCGAAGGGAAGUAGCGAAGCUUCUGAAUCUAAACUGCCAAGAAAAGCCACUAUAGAUUGUUACAAGCCCGUACCGCAAACCGACACAGGUGGAUGAGGAGAGAAUCCUAAGGCCGACGGGAGAAGCGUUGUUAAGGAACUCGGCAAAAUGACCCCGUAACUUCGGGAAAAGGGGUGCCGGAGAGAAACCGGCCACAGAAAAAAGGCCCAAGCGACUGUUUAGCAAAAACACAGGUCUCUGCGAAACCGAAAGGUGAAGUAUAGGGGCUGACGCCUGCCCGGUGCUGGAAGGUUAAGGGGAAUGGUUAGACGCGAGUCGAAGCUAGGAACUUAAGCCCCAGUAAACGGCGGCCGUAACUAUAACGGUCCUAAGGUAGCGAAAUUCCUUGUCGGGUAAGUUCCGACCCGCACGAAAGGCGUAACGAUUUGGGCACUGUCUCAACAACGCGCCCGGUGAAGUUGAAGUACUGGUAAAGAUGCCAGUUACCCGCGACAGGACGGAAAGACCCCAUGGAGCUUUACUCUAGCUUGAUAUUGGGACUUGAUACUGCAUGUACAGGAUAGGAGGGAGACUGAGAAACUAGCCCGUCAGGGUUGGUGGAGUCGCUGUUGGGAUACCUCCCUUGUAGUAUUAGGUUUCUAACCUCGUGCCGUAAACCGGUACAGGGACAGUGUCAGGUGGGGAGUUUGACUGGGGCGGUCGCCUCCGAAAGGGUAUCGGAGGCGCUCAAAGGUCAUCUCAGAAUGGUUAGGAAUCAUUCGCAGAGUGUAAAGGCAGAAGAUGGCUUGACUGUGACACCAACAAGUGGAGCAGGUACGAAAGUAGGACUUAGUGAUCCGGUGGUAAGAAAGUGGGAUUGCCAUCGCUCAACGGAUAAAAGCUACCCUGGGGAUAACAGGCUAAUCACUCCCAAGAGUUCACAUCGACGGAGUGGUUUGGCACCUCGAUGUCGGCUCAUCGCAUCCUGGGGCUGAAUUCGGUCCCAAGGGUUGGGCUGUUCGCCCAUUAAAGCGGUACGCGAGCUGGGUUCAGAACGUCGUGAGACAGUUCGGUCCCUAUCCGUCGUGGGCGCAGGAUAUUUGAGAGGAGCUGUCCUUAGUACGAGAGGACCGGGAUGGACUGACCUCUGGUGAAUCUGUUGUUUUACCAAGAGCAUAGCAGAGUAGCCAAGUUGGGAAGGGAUAAACGCUGAAGGCAUCUAAGCGUGAAGCCCCCCUCAAGAUAAGAUAUCCCAUUCGAAAGAAGUAAGACCCCUGGAAGACGACCAGGUUGAUAGGCUCUGGGUGUAAGUGCAGUAAUGCACUCAGCUGAGGAGUACUAAUCGGUCGAGGCCUUGAACUAAG